rnacentral:rRNA from 1 species
AGAACGAACGCUGGCGGCAGGCUUAACACAUGCAAGUCGAACGCCCGCAAGGGGAGUGGCAGACGGGUGAGUAACGCGUGGGAAUCUACCCAGUUCUACGGAACAACUGAGGGAAACUUCAGCUAAUACCGUAUACGCCCUACGGGGGAAAGAUUUAUCGGAAUUGGAUGAGCCCGCGUUGGAUUAGCUAGUUGGUGAGGUAACGGCUCACCAAGGCGACGAUCCAUAGCUGGUCUGAGAGGAUGAUCAGCCACACUGGGACUGAGACACGGCCCAGACUUCUACGGGAGGCAGCAGUGGGGAAUAUUGGACAAUGGGCGCAAGCCUGAUCCAGCCAUGCCGCGUGAGUGAUGAAGGCCUUAGGGCUGUAAAGCUCUUUCAGUGGGGACGAUAAUGACGGUACCCACAGAAGAAGCCCCGGCUAACUUCGUG